AUUGAACGCUGGCGGCAUGCCUUACACAUGCAAGUCGAACGGUAACAGGUCUUCGGAUGCUGACGAGUGGCGAACGGGUGAGUAAUAUAUCGGAACGUGCCCAGUCGUGGGGGAUAACGCAGCGAAAGCUGUGCUAAUACCGCAUACGAUCUAUGGAUGAAAGCGGGGGAUCGCAAGACCUCGCGCGAUUGGAGCGGCCGAUAUCAGAUUAGGUAGUUGGUGGGGUAAAGGCCCACCAAGCCAACGAUCUGUAGCUGGUCUGAGAGGACGACCAGCCACACUGGAACUGAGACACGGUCCAGACUCCUACGGGAGGCAGCAGUGGGGAAUUUUGGACAAUGGGCGCAAGCCUGAUCCAGCAAUGCCGCGUGCAGGAUGAAGGCCUUCGGGUUGUAAACUGCUUUUGUACGGAACGAAAAGGCUCUGGUUAAUACCUGGGGCUCAUGACGGUACCGUAAGAAUAAGUACCGGCUAACUACGUG
rnacentral:rRNA from 1 species